UGCGGGGUGGAGCAGCCCGGUAGCUCGCAAGGCUCAUAACCUUGAGGUCGCUGGUUCAAAUCCAGCCCCCGCAA
rnacentral:tRNA from 1 species